rnacentral:lncRNA from 1 species
CUGCCUCCCAUUACAAUAUCCACCUUUUCCCCAUAGCCAAAAACUAUCCUAAACAUUUUGUUUUAGGCCAAUUCUGCCAGUGUUAAAGAAAGGAAUGAGAGCACAUAUCAAAGACAGUGGAGACCAGGAGCAAAGUGCGACCUCUCUGGGACCUGGAGUUGACAGCUGGAGAGCAACAAAGUGGCGGAGAGAAGGGCACAGGUGAAUCUAGGAACUCGGAGGGAGCUGACAGGAAGACCAAAGACUAAAGGGAAGCUAGAGAGGUGGGCCACAGUGCAGAGAAAGGAAUAAGGCAAUCCAGAAGGCUCACCUUGGCUCUGAGGGAGGGGACCCUGUCUCCAUCGACGCAUGGUAAGUCCAGUGGCCGGGCAAGACAGCAAACCAGACUGCCAGUCCUGGUCCCAAGAGGAGCCCAUGGCUGUUGUAAACUGCAAAAACAACAUGGUGUUUUACUCUGAAAUGACUCCUUCCACGAGACAGACCAGAGUUAGGAAGGAAGUCCAGUGCAGCGCCUGCCAUGUCUCAGAGGGUUUAAUCGGGAGCCAUUUUAGGAAGGAGUUAAUUGUUUGGGAUUGGGUCACAGAGCAACUGCAGAGCAGCUUUACUCCAUGGUUUCUGGUGCCACCCUGGCACGGGACUGGGUGGGAAAUGACCGGGAGAGGCAGUGGUCAACAGGGUGCAGGCCAGUAGAGCCCCUGAGAAAUUUAAGCUCAGGUUGGGUGUCAGGUAAAAGGGCCGAAGGCCAAGACCAGACCAGGCCACAACAAGUCUUUGUUAGGGGAAUAGAUCUGCCGGGCUGUCUCUGAACAAAGGAGAGACAAAAGCAAUAUGGCCGGGGCAGGGAGAGUCUUUUAUAGAGACUCGGGUGGGGCUUGUAGGGGCAGAGGUGGGAUUGAGUGGGGUAGUGGCUAGGGAAUGGAGGAGCCCGUGAUGUCACUAGGUGGUAGGAGGUGAGCGAGUAUUAGGUUACUCUCUAGGCGGGACCAGGGGCAUGCUGGGAAGAAGGGUUUAUUCUUUGGUGGGAGCAACCAUCUUGGCAUGAUGUCACUAGGUGGUAGGAGGUGAGCGAGUAUUAGGUUACUCUCUAGGCGGGACCAGGGGCAUGCUGGGAAGAAGGGUUUAUUCUUUGGUGGGAGCAACCAUCUUGGCAUGACGUCACACAGGGGAGGGGGCAAGGCACGAUAGGAAGAGGGCAGCUACUAUACAUAAUAGCUGCUGAGGUGGUGGGAGACCUAUCAUUGGGGACACGAGAGCCCUGCCCACUGUGGUGAGAAGCCAGGCAUGGCAUGUGUGGCUCUCUGAGGCAGCCUGGUCUGGAAGUGCUGGCCUUAAGUCCAGGAAACUGCGUGAACCCCCACCCUGCUGCCUACAGCAACACAGUACUCAGUGGUCUCUUUGCUCUCCACGUCUACCAAUGUGAGCAAGGGGAUGGCCCAGCUUGGGUCACUGCCACUUCCUGGUGUGCACAGAGAGAGAGAGAGAGAGAGAGAGAGAGAGAGAGAGAGACCUGUGAAGCAGGGAGCAGGGCAUUUCACAAACCCAUAGGCCAUACAGCUAGUCAGAGAAACCAUGACAGAGAGUGCACAGAGGAACACGCGAGCUGGGAGCUGCAAGAACGGCUAGAGUCUCGGUGCGGAUGCACUGACCACCUGCACACAGCAGGAAAGGGGGUCAGGGAGCAGGAUUCACACACACACACACACACACACACACAAGGAUGUAGAAACAAAAUAAUCAUUCUUAGCGUGACUC